rnacentral:rRNA from 1 species
GAGAUUCCCCCAGUAGCGGCGAGCGAACGGGGAGGAGCCCAGAGCCUGAAUCAGCAUGUGUGUUAGUGGAAGCGUCUGGAAAGGCGCGCGAUACAGGGUGACAGCCCCGUACACAAAAGCGCAUGUGCUGUGAGCUCGAUGAGUAGGGCGGGACACGUGGUAUCCUGUCUGAAUAUGGGGGGACCAUCCUCCAAGGCUAAAUACUCCUGACUGACCGAUAGUGAACCAGUACCGUGAGGGAAAGGCGAAAAGAACCCCGGCGAGGGGAGUGAAAAAGAACCUGAAACCGUGUACGUACAAGCAGUGGGAGCCCCACCACUAAGCCAGUGGUGAACUCCACAUACGCAUCCUUUGCUGAGGCAAUGGUUAACGGAGCGAAAGCGACGUUCAACCGCAAAACAAGCAGAGGGGGCUUAGUGGUGGGGUGACUGCGUACCUUUUGUAUAAUGGGUCAGCGACUUAUAUUCUGUAGCAAGGUUAACCGUAUAGGGGAGCCGGAGGGAAACCGAGUCUUAAUUGGGCGUUAAGUUGCAGGGUAUAGACCCGAAACCCGGUGAUCUAGCCAUGGGCAGGUUGAAGGUUGGGUAACACUAACUGGAGGACCGAACCGACUAAUGUUGAAAAAUUAGCGGAUGACCUGUGGCUGGGGGUGAAAGGCCAAUCAAACCGGGAGAUAGCUGGUUCUCCCCGAAAGCUAUUUAGGUAGCGCCUCGUGAAUUCAUCUCCGGGGGUAGAGCACUGUUUCGGCUAGGGGGCCAUCCCGGCUUACCAACCCGAUGCAAACUGCGAAUACCGGAGAAUGUUAUCACGGGAGACACACGGCGGGUGCUAACGUCCGUCGUGAAGAGGGAAACAACCCAGACCGCCAGCUAAGGUCCCAAAGUCAUGGUUAAGUGGGAAACGAUGUGGGAAGGCCCAGACAGCCAGGAUGUUGGCUUAGAAGCAGCCAUCAUUUAAAGAAAGCGUAAUAGCUCACUGGUCGAGUCGGCCUGCGCGGAAGAUGUAACGGGGCUAAACCAUGCACCGAAGCUGCGGCAGCGA